rnacentral:rRNA from 1 species
AUGCCGCCUAGGAUCAAGGUUUUUAUGUGGUUAACCCUUGGGAGGAGUAUCCUCACAAAAGAUAAUUUGAUUCGUAGGGGGUGGAAGGGAGAUGAUAAAUGCCCUUUUUGUGGACAAAAAGAGAACAUAAAUCAUCUUUUUUUGACCUGUUCAGUUGCUAGGCUGUUAUGGAACAUUUUAAAAUGUGUUUUCAAUCUUAGAGAUAUUCCUGAUACGUUUAAAUGUUGUUAUGAAACCUUGGGUAAAUACUUUUGGUAA